AUGAACUCCACUGUUGCUGUUAGCAAUAAAAUGGACAAACACCACUUGUCACUGACUGAAAGAAAGGGUCAUUUACUGGGGAGCUUAGAAAAAAAAAAAUUCCCAAUGAACUGGCAAUCCUGCUGUUUAUCUAGCUCUAAUUGUAAGCAGUGCUGUAUCAAUUACUUUCAAGGCAGCAACUGUCACUUGUUUUGGAAAUUUGCAUAUUUUAAACAUAUUUUCAAUCAUCACUUUAGCCUCCAGAGCUGUCACUACCUUCACAUGUCACUGCCGUUACCGCAAUCACAAGUCAUUGCUUAUCAGACUGAUUGCCAGCAGUGCACUUCUGCCAAAACUGUCAAUGUACUGGAAAUGGAAGAACCAGGAACAUGAGACUUCCAGCAUUACACCUGGCAAGUGACAGACACGUCCCAGUCUGUAAUGAAAAUAUAUUUUUGUUUUAAACCGAGUAUAUGAGAGCUGGAUGAGAUGCUACACAUGGUCUUCUGCUAAGAAACUGCUGGGAAGAGUCUUCAGAUUCCUUCUCUCUGAGUGUUCGUUGUGAUUCACCACAAGGCCAUCAAUUGCCUGUACUAGGGUGAAAUUUAUAUCGUCUGUUACCCAUGUCAGAACCAUGGCAGGCACAAUCGUAAUCUGCCAAAGGAAACAUUUGGUUUGCUUUUCUUUUAAAGGUCUUGCAUUGAAUUUCCAGGUUAGCCCACAGAUGGGAGCAAAGGGGAAUUCCUUGUAAGAAGUGUGGGAAGGAUGGUACUAAUCAGUGAGACAGACCAUGCUUCUACUACACCUCCUUACAACUAAAGUGUAGCAGAGCUUGUGUUGGCUUAACUGGCCCCUGGGAAUUGGCACAGAAGCUGCAGAUAACACAGAAUUUGUAAACAUUUAUAUGAGAAAUAAUACAAUAGAGAACAGCUUUAAGCAUAUGCAGACCAGAGAGAGAAAUGGAUAAUUUAUGUGUGGGACAUGAAUUGCUAUUUAGCAAGAAAUAUUAGAAAAUAAUAACAACAACAAAAAAACAGCUUCCAAACAGAAGCUAUUUGAGACAUGACUUUGGUGUUAAUUCUGUUGUUUUUGAUAUCAUUUCUCUAAUAAACACUUACUCCUGCCCA
rnacentral:lncRNA from 1 species